UACGGGGGGGGCAAGCGUUGUUCGGAAUUACUGGGCGUAAAGGGCGCGUAGGCGGCCUUCUAAGUCAGACGUGAAAUCCCUCGGCUCAACCGAGGAACUGCGUCUGAUACUGGAAGGCUUGAAUCCGGGAGAGGGAUGUGGAAUUCCAGGUGUAGCGGUGAAAUGCGUAGAUAUCUGGAGGAACACCGGUGGCGAAGGCGGCAUCCUGGACCGGUAUUGACGCUGAGGCGCGGAAAGCUAGGGGAGCAAACGGGGAUUAAGAAACCCUUGG
rnacentral:rRNA from 1 species